AGCGGCGCGGCGCGGGUGGGGAGGGCGGGGAGCGGGAGCUGCGUGCGCGCCCCCUCCCCGCCCCGGCUCCCACCCCCGGCUAUAAGGAGCGCGCCGGCGGGCGCUGCUCCGCAUUGCAUGACAGCUCCUCGCCCGGGUGCGCAGCCCCCGCCGCCCGAGCAGCCCUUACCGGGGCACAGACGCCCCCUCCCCAGCUUGCUCCCAGGCCGCCUUCCUCUCCUCCUCCUCACCUUGCUCCCUCCCCAGCCCUACCCGCCCGUGACCUUGCCAUCCGGCAGCUCCAGAGUAAGAGCAAAGGCAGCCUGGGGAGGCAACAGUGCUGGACUGGGAAGCUACCUUGGGAUGAAUUAGCCAGGGAAUCACGGAGAAAUAUUUCUCCUAGGAAGGAGAGAGGAAGCCCCCUCCCACUUACUGGAGAGGGGGAGAGCAGAAAGAAAAAGAGGAUUUAAAGAGCAUCUUUACCCCCUUUGUUGAAUGAGAAGGACAGAAGAGGACCAGCAAGAUGAGCACUAGCACAGUUCCCUAUCAGCAAAACCCAUAUACCCCUGGAAGCAGUUCCACCGUUAUCCAGUGCUACCGCUGCGGAGACACAUGCAAGGGGGAAGUGGUACGCGUCCAGAGCAAUCACUUCCACAUCAGAUGCUUCACCUGCCAAGUGUGUGGCUGCGACUUGGCCCAGUCAGGCUUCUUCUUUAAGAACCAGGAGUACAUCUGCACCCACGACUACCAGCAGCUAUAUGGGACCCGCUGCGACAGCUGUGGGGACUUUAUCACCGGGGAGGUCAUCUCUGCCCUGGGAAGGACCUACCACCCCAAGUGCUUUGUGUGUAGCACGUGCAGGAAGCCGUUCCCCAUCGGAGACAAAGUCACAUUCAGCGGGAAGGACUGUGUCUGCCAAAACUGCUCCCAUUCGCUGAUCAGCACCAAACCCAUCAAGAUCCAUGGGCCCAGCCACUGUGCAGGCUGCAAGGAGGAGAUCAAGCAAGGCCAAUCUCUCCUGGCCCUGGAGAAGCAGUGGCAUGUCAGCUGCUUCAAGUGCCAAACAUGUGGGAUCAUCCUCACCGGAGAGUACAUCAGCAAGGAUGGCGUCCCUUACUGUGAGUCCGACUACCAUGCCCAGUUUGGCAUCAAGUGCGAGACCUGUGACCGGUACAUCAGCGGCAGGGUCCUGGAGGCAGGAGGGAAGCAUUACCACCCCACCUGUGCCCGCUGUGUCCGCUGCCACCAGAUGUUCACGGAAGGAGAGGAGAUGUACCUUACAGGCUCUGAAGUGUGGCAUCCAAUCUGCAAGCAGGCAGCAAGAGCAGAGAAGAAGCUGAAGCACAGAAGAACAUCAGAAACUUCUAUCUCACCCCCUGGUUCCAGCAUCGGCUCCCCGAACCGAGUCAUCUGCGCUAAAGUGGAUAAUGAGAUCCUUAAUUACAAAGACCUGGCAGCUCUUCCCAAGAUUAAAGCCAUCUAUGAAGUGCAGCGUCCUGACCUCAUUUCGUAUGAGCCCUAUCACAGAUACACAUCGGACGAAACGCUGGAGAGAUAUAGCUAUGGGGAGUCCCUGGGAGCCCUGUCCCCUUACUCUCAGGACAUCUACGAAAGCAUUGACAUCCGGCAGAGGCGAGCCUCCAGCCCUGGCUACAUCGACUCUCCCACCUACAGUCGCCAGGGCAUGUCACCCACCAUCCCAAGAUCCCCACACCAUUUCUACCGCUCAGGCACAGAAAGUGGGCGCAGCUCCCCCUACUAUAGCCAGUUAGAUGUGAGGUCAUCUACUCCAACCUCAUACCAAGCGCCCAAGCAUUUCCACAUUCCAGCUGCCGGGGAGAGUAACAUCUACCGGAAACCCCCCAUCUAUAAACGACACGACAACCUCCCUGCAGCCACAAAAAGCAAAACCAGCGAAGACAUCACACAGUCAUCCAAGUACAGCCCUGCCUACUCCCCGGACCCGUACUACCACUCGGAGUCAGAGUACUGGUCCUUCCAAGGGUCCCCCAAAGCGCCCCGGGCCCGGAGGUUCUCAUCAGGAGGCGAGGAGGACGGAUAUGAGCGGGGGAUGCACAAGAUCCAGAGUGGCAUCGGCAGGCUGAUCCUGAGAGAGGAGAUGAAGGCUCGGUCCAACUCUUACACGGACCCCUGGACGCCUCCUCGCAGCUCAGCCAGCAGCAGGGAAGCCCUUCACACGGCUGGCUACGAUGGCUCCCUGAACGGCUCUCCCCGGACACACUACCUGGCUGACAGCGAUCCCCUCAUUUCUAAGUCAGCCUCCCUCCCUGCCUACAGGAGGAACGGGCUGCACAGGCCUCCCAGCGCUGAGCUUUUCCACUACGACAGCACGAAUGCCGUCAACUGGGGAAUGCGAGAGUACAAGGUAAGAGGCCACUGCUGGUAGAGUCCCUGCUCCAAGGAGCAGUUACCAUCUGAAGAUACCCAAGUGCCACCCAGAAGAUGGCCCAGAGAAGCUCCCCCGUGUCUCCAGAUUCUGUUGUGAGGGAAGCUUCAUUCUCCUCCAUUUUUCCAAGCCCCCCACCAGACAGCCCCAUCCUGGGACCAUGAGACUUGGACCAGAGUCCUUCCCCUCCUGCCAGGGUCCCAAACUCUUUGCAGAGCAGAACUGUCACCCUGGUGAAGAAGCAGAGAGGGGUGGCUGAGCUGGCUGUUCCCUGCUCAGCUCUAACUCAUGCAUAUCUCUGGAUCAUUCCUGACUUUACAGAGUAAGCAGAAGACCUUCAGGCUGCCAUUCAAGAACCACCAAGGUGGUUCAAAAGAGGCGGUGGAUUAUAGCCACCCUACAAGCUAAUCCCCAUCUGAGCCAUGCACUGUUCAAGCCCUGGUAGGCAGCUGUGCCAGCCAAGCGCUACAAAAUGCUCUGGGAGUAGCCUUUGCCCUGGUGGCCCCGUAGCCUCAGAACUUCCUGGAGCACCUUGCUGAUGUGCUUUUCUAGCUCCAGAGCUAGCCUGUGGUCUUUGUUUCUCCAUGUAGAUAUACCCCUACGAGCUGCUCCUGGUGAAGACAAGGGGGAGGAACCAGCUGCCCAAAGAUGUGGACAGAACUCGGUUAGAGCGCCACCUCUCCCAGGAGGAGUUCUACCAGAUCUUCGGCAUGACCAUGGCCGAGUUCGACCGCCUGGCCCUGUGGAAGAGGAAUGAGCUGAAGAAGCAGGCCCGGCUGUUUUAAAUGCAGUGCACUAUAAAUAUAUACAUACCUAUAAAUAUAUACAUAGAAAGAUCUCUA